UACGUAGGGGGCAAGCGUUGUCCGGAUUUAUUGGGCGUAAAGAGCGUGUAGGCGGCCAGGUAGGUCUGCUGUGAAAACUCGAGGCUCAACCUCGAGACGCCGGUGGAAACCAUCAGGCUAGAGUCCGGAAGAGGAGAGUGGAAUUCCUGGUGUAGCGGUGAAAUGCGCAGAUAUCAGGAAGAACACCCCGUGACGAAGGCGGUUCUCUGGGACGGUACUGACGCUGAGACGCGAAAGCGUGGGGAGCAAACAGG
rnacentral:rRNA from 1 species